rnacentral:rRNA from 1 species
CGCUGGCGGCGUGCUUAACACAUGCAAGUCGAACGGUAAGGCCCUUCGGGGUACACGAGUGGCGAACGGGUGAGUAACACGUGGGUGAUCUGCCCUGCACUUCGGGAUAAGCCUGGGAAACUGGGUCUAAUACCGGAUAGGACCAUGGACUUCACGGUUUGUGGUGGAAAGCUUUUGCGGUGUGGGAUGGGCCCGCGGCCUAUCAGCUUGUUGGUGGGGUAAUGGCCUACCAAGGCGACGACGGUAGCCGGCCUGAGAGGGUGUCCGGCCACACUGGGACUGAGAUACGGCCCAGACUCCUACGGGAGGCAGCAGUGGGGAAUAUUGCACAAUGGGCGCAAGCCUGAUGCAGCGACGCCGCGUGAGGGAUGACGGCCUUCGGGUUGUAAACCUCUUUCAAUAGGGACGAAGCGCAAGUGACGGUACCUAUAGAAGAAGCACCGGCCAACUACGUG